GGGUAGUUUGACUGGGGCGGUCUCCUCCCAAAGUGUAACGGAGGAGCACGAAGGUCAGCUAAUCCUGGUCGGACAUCAGGAGGUUAGUGCAAUGGCAUAAGCUGGCUUGACUGCGAGAGUGACGGCUCGAGCAGGUGCGAAAGCAGGUCAUAGUGAUCCGGUGGUUCUGUAUGGAAGGGCCAUCGCUCAACGGAUAAAAGGUACUCCGGGGAUAACAGGCUGAUACCGCCCAAGAGUUCAUAUCGACGGCGGUGUUUGGCACCUCGAUGUCGGCUCAUCACAUCCUGGGGCUGAAGUAGGUCCCAAGGGUAUGGCUGUUCGCCAUUUAAAGUGGUACGCGAGCUGGGUUUAGAACGUCGUGAGACAGUUCGGUCCCUAUCUGCCGUGGGCGCUGGAGAAUUGAGGGGGGCUGCUCCCAGUACGAGAGGACCGGAGUGGACGCAUCACUGGUGUUCGGGUUGUCAUGCCAAUGGCACUGCCCGGUAGCUAAAUGCGGAAGAGAUAAGUGCUGAAAGCAUCUAAGCACGAAACUUGCCCCGAGAUGAGUUCUCCCUGACUCCUUGAGAGUCCUGAAGGAACGUUGAAGACGACGACGUUGAUAGGCCGGGUGUGUAAGCGCAGCGAUGCGUUGAGCUAACCGGUACUAAUGAACCGUGAGGCUUAACCUUACAACGCCAAAGAAGU
rnacentral:rRNA from 1 species